rnacentral:lncRNA from 8 species
UCUUGUUUUGCACCCAAUUCUGUGUUGCUGACCACUAGCCUGAUGUAAAUCCACUGACACCGCUUAGAAUUGGGAUGCCAGUUGUUGCAUUCAUCAAACAACUUUAUUAAAAUGACUGUUGACGUCUUGCUGUAGGCUAUUGCCUUUUUGACUACGAUCUAAUCUAAUAAUGAUGUAGGUGACGUCCACAUCCCUCCUACACCUCUUCCAGUUCACUCCUGAUAUAUGGUGUGCCUCCCUCUACUUCUCAGACUACAAGAGUCCAGCUACCGCAGCAGAACCCACACAACCGCUCCUACACACACGGAUGGAGAACGGGAGCUGGCUUGGCGGUGAUGUGUUUAGACUUUUUGCUUUAUUUAUCAGCUCUUUCUUAGGUCAUUUCUACGGGGAGAUAAUCUAAGUCUUCCAUGAUGAAACUUGUGUUUGUUUUUGCUGUGGUUGCGUAUUUCUUUGCAGAAAAUCUAUCACUUCCCGUUGGAAAAGAACGACAGCGAGAGGAUGUGGUAACCCGGUGCUUGGUUGAGGUCCUGUCCAAGGCGUUGACCAAACCUGACUCUCACCCUCUGGAUCAGGAAUGCAAAGAUAUUCUCAAAGCAGGUGCCCAACAUGCUGCUCCUGUGGAGAAGAAAAGUGAUGAGGUGCUGACCCAUGAAGAGGAGGGCAAAGAACAUGAACCUAAGCCUGAGGCACCAGGCGCCGACGUGAAAGACAUCGAGGCCCUCCUGAAGUCUGUGGAGGAGAAGAGAGAGACACCGGAGGACGAAGAUCGCAGCCAGGAGUCAUGGGACCUCAACUACGAGAAAGAGAAAAGGAUUUGGAAACCAACGCAUAGGUAUCAUCAUGAGAAACCCAAUCACAAACGUGAUGAGGAGGUUUCUGAAGAAGUGAGAGAAGAGCCAGACGAAGAACAUAGUCAGGAAUCCUGGAGCCUGGGCGAUGAGAAGGAGAAGAGAUAUAGGCCUACCUAUCGGUACACCCCCAAAAAACACCCCAAACGAGAUGAAGAGGGUUUAGAAGAAGAGAGAGAAGAGCCAGAAGAGGAACGUAGUCAGGAAUCCUGGAGCCUGGGCGAUGAGAAGGAGAAGAGGUAUAGGCCUACCUAUCGGUACACCCCAAAGAAACACCACAAACGAGACGAAGAGAGUUUAGAGGAAGAGAGAGAAGAGCCAGAAGAGGAACGUAGUCAGGAAUCCUGGAGCCUGGGCGAUGAGAAGGAGAAGAGGUAUAGGCCUACCUAUCGGUACACCCCAAAGAAACACCACAAACGAGACGAAGAGGGUUUAGAGGAAGAGAGAGAAGAGCCAGAAGAGGAACGUAGUCAGGAAUCCUGGAGCCUGGGCGAUGAGAAGGAGAAGAGAUAUAGGCCUACCUAUCGGUACACCCCAAAGAAACACCACAAACGAGAUGAAGAGGGUUUAGAGGAAGAGAGAGAAGAGCCAGAAGAGGAACGUAGUCAGGAAUCCUGGAGCCUGGGCGAGGAGAAGGAGAAGAGAUAUAGGCCUACCUAUCGGUACAGCCCCAAAAAACACCCCAAACGAGACGAAGAGAGUUUAGAGGAAGAGAGAGAAGAGCCAGAAGAGGAACGUAGUCAGGAAUCCUGGAGCCUGGGCGAUGAGAAGGAGAAGAGAUAUAGGCCUACCUAUCGGUACACCCCAAAGAAACACCACAAACGAGAUGAAGAAGACGAAGAGCGCAGCCAAGAGUCCUGGAGUCUGGGCGAUGAGAAAGAAAAGAGAGAGGAGGAUGAUGAGGAAAGAAAGAAGAGGAUUUGGAAACCCACCCAUCGGUACCACCACAAGAAGCACCACAAACGCAGUGAAGAUCCUUCAGAGGAAGAGGAGGAGGAGGAGAAAGAGAAGAGAAUUUGGAAACCCACACACAGAUAUCACCACAAGAAACACCACAAACGAGGUGCUGACUCAUCGGACGAGGAAUCAGAGGAAAAGAGAUCAGUUGAGUCAGAGGAAGAGGAGGAAGAGGAUAGAGAGAAGAGAAUCUGGAAGCCCACACACAGAUACCACCACAAAAAACACCACAAACGUGAUGAGGAGCUUUCAGAAGAAGGGAGAGAGGAGCCAGAUGAAGAACGCAGCCAAGAGUCCUGGAGUCUGGGUGAUGGAAAGGAGAAGAGAGAGGAGGAUGAGGAUGAGAGAGAGAAGAGGAUUUGGAAACCAACUCACAGGUACCACCACAAGAAGCAUCACAAACGAAAUGGGGAUUCCUCAGAGGAGGAAGACGAGGAACGAAGGAGCGAUUCGGACGAACAUGAGGAGGAGAAGAUGGAUGGCGACGCCGAGGAGGCUGAGAGACAGAGGGAUAGGCAGGAGGCUCUGAGGUACCUGGCAGAGAAGAGUCGUCUCCUGGGGGAGGGCGAGGUGUAUGAGAAACGUUCUCCCUGGGCUUACAGAGGAUACUACCACCCCGCCUGGUGGAAGAGAAGCAUAGACCCACACACACCAUUGCAUAAGAUGGAGGAACUGGCGAAGUUGCUGACCUAUAAGAAUCACCAGCUGGCCAGCCAAUCAGAGCCGGCGGACGAGGAAAAGAAGAGGAGCGUAUCUCUAACCCCAGAGGAGGAGAAGGAGCUGGAGAACAUAGCAGCUAUGGACAUGGAGCUACAGAAGAUAUCUCAGAAGAUGCAUGAGAACAGGAGUGACUAG